rnacentral:ncRNA from 1 species
UUGUGGGAGAGACCCGCGUAUUGCGCGGGCGCCGAAGGAGCAACCGCCCCGGAAUCUCUCAGGCAAAUGGACCGUAGGGGGA